CCUACGGGAGGCAGCAGUGAGGAAUAUUGGUCAAUGGACGCAAGUCUGAACCAGCCAUGCCGCGUGCAGGAAGACGGCUCUAUGAGUUGUAAACUGCUUUUGUACGAGGGUAAACGCAGAUACGCGUAUCUGUCUGAAAGUAUCGUACGAAUAAGGAUCGGCUAACUCCGUGCCAGCAGCCGCGGUAAUACGGAGGAUUCAAGCGUUAUCCGGAUUUAUUGGGUUUAAGGGGUGCGUAGGCGGUCGGAUAAGUUAGAGGUCAAAUCCCGGGGCUCAACUUCGGAAUUGCCUCUGAUACUGGUCGGCGAGAGAGUAGGUGCGGUAGGCGGAAUGUGUGGUGUAGCGGUGAAAUGCUUAGAGAUCAUACAGAACACCGAUUGCGAAGGCAGCUUACCAGGCUACUUCUGACGUUGAGGCACGAAAGCGUGGGGAGCAAACAGGAUUAGAUACCCGUGUAGUC
rnacentral:rRNA from 1 species